rnacentral:tRNA from 1 species
UCUAAUAUGGCAGAUUAGUGCAGCGGAUUUAAAUCCCGAUCAUAAAGUUUACUUUUUUUAGAA